GAUGAAGAACGUAGUGAAAUGCGAUAAGUAAUGUGAAUUGCAGAAUUCAGUGAAUCAUCGAAUCUUUGAACGCACAUUGCGCCCGGCAGUACUCUGCCGGGCAUGCCUGUUCGAGCGUCAUUUCAACCCUCAAGCCCUGCUUGGUGUUGGGGCCCUACGGCUGCCGUAGGCCCCGAAAGGAAGUGGCGGGCUCGCUACAACUCCGAGCGUAGUAACUCAUUAUCUCGCUUAGGGCGUUGGGCGGCGCUCCAGCCGUUAAAGAACCAUCUUUAACUCAAGGUUGACCUCGGAUCAGGUAGGAAUACCCGCUGAACUUAAGCAUAUCAAUAAGCGGAGGA
rnacentral:misc_RNA from 1 species